GAUGAAGAACGCAGCGAAAUGCGAUAAGUAGUGUGAAUUGCAGAAUUCAGUGAAUCAUCGAAUCUUUGAACGCACAUUGCGCCCUUUGGUAUUCCUUAGGGCAUGCCUGUUCGAGCGUCAUUUAAACCUUCAAGCUAAGCUUGGUGUUGGGUGACUGUCCGCUUCACGGCGGACUCGCCUCAAAAUUAUUGGCGGCCGGUACAUUGGCUUCGAGCGCAGCAGAAACGCGAACUCGGGCCCGUCGUAUUGGCUCCCAGAAGCUAUCUUCACAAUUUUGACCUCGGAUCAGGUAGGGAUACCCGCUGAACUUAAGCACAUCAAUAAGCGGAGGA
rnacentral:misc_RNA from 1 species